AGGAGCCGUAUGCGGUGAAAAUCUCAUGUACGGUUCUGGAAUAGCGACGGUAACAGUGAUGGUAUCGCCGACUAUGAU
rnacentral:ncRNA from 1 species